rnacentral:rRNA from 1 species
AUACGUAGGGUGCAAGCGUUAAUCGGAAUUACUGGGCGUAAAGCGUGCGCAGGCGGUUUUGUAAGACAGAGGUGAAAUCCCCGGGCUCAACCUGGGAACUGCCUUUGAGACUGCAAGGCUAGAGUAAGGCAGAGGGGGAUGGAAUUCCGCGUGUAGCAGUGAAAUGCGUAGAUAUGCGGGGGAACACCGAGGGCGAAGGCAUGUCCCUGGGCCUUUACGGCCGCUCAUGCCCGAAAGAGUGGGGUGCAAACGGGAUUUGAUACCCUGGUAGUCCGCGCCCUAAACGAUGUCCACUGGUUGUUUGGUCUUCAUUGUCUCAGUAACGAAGCUAACGCGUGAAGUUGACCGCCUGGGGAGUACGGCCGCAAGGUUGAAACUCAAAUUAAUUGACGGGG